rnacentral:tRNA from 1 species
GCCUUCGUGGUGUAGUGGUCAGCACGCUCGACGCGUAACCGCCGAGAGGUCCGUGGUUCGAUUCCCGGAGAAGGCG